UGGAGUUGAACUUUUAUUUUCCUAUAAAAGGACAGAACUUUUAUUUUCCUAUAAAAGGACAGUAUUUUAUUUUGAAGGAAGAUUAAACACAAUUGAAAACUUCAAUUACUUGCCAAAAACUAAUUAGUGAAUAAAGCAGAGCAAAACAGAACAUUCAGUUUUAGAAAAAACAGAAUAGGUCAUGACUUGAUAUGCAUAAUUGAGGAAAAAUGUACCUACAGAUGAGUUCAAGGGACUA
rnacentral:misc_RNA from 1 species